AUGACCAAUUCCUCACACAGCACAUUCCAUGAUUUCCUUUCUUCACCCCCAUCUCACUGUCCCACCGUCGUGACAGCUCGGCUUCUCUCAACCUCUCCUUUGCUCAAUCAUAUUUUCACUUCUUCUUUAUCAUUCGAUUUGAUGUCCUCUGCCAUUCUCUUCUCCAAGAUUUGGUCUCAAUCACGUCUUUGUCUCGGACUUCUCCUUCGUCUAUGUUCAUCCGAUUUGUUGCCUUAUUCCGAGUCACAAUUUGUCUUCAACCUCUCUCUCAGUUUAAAGCACACACUUAAACAGUAA